GGUCCGAUGGUGGAACUGGUAUACACGCAGCACUUAAAAUGCUGUGCCGCAAGGCAUGUGGGUUCGAUUCCCACUCGGACCACGA
rnacentral:tRNA from 1 species